UGGCGUCUCUCAAUUUGAUGAUGU
rnacentral:siRNA from 1 species